GGGUCAGUAGGUUGGUCGUGCCACCGGUACGUACUGGUCUCACUGAUUCCUCCUUCCUGAAGAACCGUAAUGCCAUUAAUUUGGGGUUGCGGGGAAACAGGACUGUUACUUUGAAAAAAUUAGAGUGUUUAACGCAAGCUAACGCUUGAAUACAUUAGCAUGGAAUAAUGAAAUAGGACGAUCGAUCCUAUUUUGUUGGUUUCUAGGAUUGACGUA
rnacentral:rRNA from 1 species